CACAGUGCUUUACAAUUCUUAUCUCCUUUGAACUUCAGGUCCUUCUGGAUAGAUACUAUUACGUCCACAUUUUAUAGAUGAGAAAAUUGAGUAGCCAAAAACCAGUUGGCAACAUUUUCUGGAAGAAAAUGUUAAAAAUUGAUCUUUAAAAAUAUCAUUGGGAAAAUUCACAGUAAAGUAAUAGAGUGAAGUAUAAAAAUUACCAAAAAUAAGUAAAGAAGAGAAACUAGAAAGGAUCAUAUAUAACACCAUGCCAUGUUUUUAAAACGUUGAGUGAGGAAGCCAGAGGAAGAGACUGGACCACCUGACCCUCACAUUUGAGCAAGAUUCUAGAAACCAGUCAGAACAUCCAGGAGGCACUUCACAUACCGUGACUAAAAUCAAGACUCUGAUUUCUAUAAAGAAGAACCGUGAUGGGACAUCAGUUUCCAGGAAACAGAAACGAAGAGGGAUGAUGCCCACGUGCAGUCUUGACUCUCUCACUUGUUUCUGGCAUUUCAGCCCUGGAUUAUAGACCUGGCAGAUCCUGCGGGCAGGUGUGUUGAGCAUAUUCUGAGUAGGGUGUAAAGGCCCAUUUCUGUUGUAAACAGUGGUUUAAACCGCCAUCUCCGUUUUUCAGACCUUUUCAUUUGUUUGCAUAUUUUGCAGAAACCAGG
rnacentral:lncRNA from 1 species